rnacentral:rRNA from 1 species
GGAGCUAAUCCCUUAAAGCUACUCUCAGUUCGGAUUGUAGGCUGAAACUCGCCUACAUGAAGCUGGAGUUACUAGGAAUCGCAGAUCAGAAUGCUGCGGUGAAUGCGUUCCCGGGUCUUGUACACACCGCCCGUCACACCACGGGAGUUGGAGACGCCCGAAGCCGAUUAUCUAACCUUUUGGAAGAAGUCGUCGAAGGUGGAAUCAAUAACUGGGGUGAAGUCGUAACAAGGUAGCCGUAUCGGAAGGUGCGGCUGGAUCACCUCCUUUCUAAGGAGA